CCUAGUAACGGCGAAGUGAACCGGGAAAAGCUCAAAUUUGAAAUCUGGCGUCCUCAGGGCGUCCGAAGUUGUAAUCUAUAGAGGCGUUUUCCGUGCCGGACCGUGUCCAAGUCCCUUGGAACAGGGUAUCAAAGAGGGUGACAAUCCCGUACUUGACACGACUACCGGUGCUCUGUGAUACGUCUUCUACGAGUCGAGUUGUUUGGGAAUGCAGCUCAAAAUGGGUGGUGAGUUCCAUCUAAAGCUAAAUAUUGGCGAGAGACCGAUAGCGAACAAGUACCGUGAGGGAAAGAUGAAAAGCACUUUGGAAAGAGAGUUAAACAGUACGUGAAAUUGUUGAAAGGGAAACGAUUGAAGUCAGUCGUGACCGAGAGGCUCAGCCGGCUCUGCCGGUGUAUUCCCCUCGGUCGGGUCAACAUCAGUUUUGUCCGGUGGAUAAGGGCGGUAGGAAGGUGGCACCCACGGGUGUGUUAUAGCCUGCCGUCGCAUACACUGGGUGAGACUGAGGAAUGCAGCUCGCCUUUAUGGCCGGGGUUCGCCCACGUCCGAGCUUAGGAUG
rnacentral:rRNA from 1 species